UACGUAGGGUGCGAGCGUUGUCCGGAAUUAUUGGGCGUAAAGAGCUCGUAGGCGGUGUGUCGCGUCGGCCGUGAAAACCUGCAGCUUAACUGUGGGCUUGCGGUCGAUACGGGCAUCACUGGAGUUCGGCAGGGGAGACUGGAAUUCCUGGUGUAGCGGUGAAAUGCGCAGAUAUCAGGAGGAACACCGGUGGCGAAGGCGGGCCUCUGGGCCGAUACUGACGCUGAGGAGCGAAAGCGUGGGGAGCGAACAGG
rnacentral:rRNA from 1 species